AUGGAGAAGAAGAGGAGACCUGGGGCAGCUCAGGCCCACUGUUCCCUCUCCCAGCCUGUGCUGACUCAGCCAUCUUCCCAUUCUGCAUCUUCUGGAGCAUCAGUCAGACUCACCUGCAUGCUGAGCAGUGGCUUCAGUGUUGGGGACUUCUGGAUAAGGUGGUACCAACAAAAGCCAGGGAACCCUCCCCGGUAUCUCCUGUACUACCACUCAGACUCCAAUAAGGGCCAAGGCUCUGGAGUUCCCAGCCGCUUCUCUGGAUCCAACGAUGCAUCAGCCAAUGCAGGGAUUCUGCGUAUCUCUGGGCUCCAGCCUGAGGAUGAGGCUGACUAUUACUGUGGUACAUGGCACAGCAACUCUAAGACUCA